CGCCUGUUUAUCAAAAACAUCGCCUCUUGUUCAAUUAUAGGAGGUCCAGCCUGCCCAGUGACUUUGUUCAACGGCCGCGGUAUCCUAACCGUGCGAAGGUAGCGUAAUCACUUGUUCUUUAAAUGAGGACUAGUAUGAAUGGCCCCACGAGGGCUGCACUGUCUCCUUUUUCUAAUCAAUGAAACUAAUCUCCCCGUGAAGAAGCGGGAAUAAUCCUAUAAGACGAGAAGACCCUAUGGAGCUUUAAACAACUGAAACAUUUGCUUUUCUCCUAGUUCCUUCCGAGCUCUUUAUUUUUACUUAAGCAUUAUUAUUUCUAGUUUUAGGUUGGGGUGACCACGGAGCAAAACUAAACCUCCAUGAAGAAAUGAAUAUUUUUAAGCCACAAACUACCUUUUUAAGCAUCAACAAAUUGACCUUCAUUGACCCAAUAUAUUGAUCAACGAACCAAGUUACCCUAGGGAUAACAGCGCAAUCUACUUCAAGAGCUCAUAUCGACAAGUAGGUUUACGACCUCGAUGUUGGAUCAGGGUAUCCUAGUGGUGCAGCCGCUACUAAUGGUUCGUUUGUUCAACGAUUAAAACCCU
rnacentral:rRNA from 1 species